rnacentral:rRNA from 1 species
AUGGCGCUCGCUCUCUCCGUCUUCUUGCUCGGAACCAGGACCUACCGCUUCUACCCACCGGAAAAGAACGGCGUCCUGCUCACGCAGCUCGGUGAACUGCUCGUCGCGAGGGCUAAAUCCUGGCACUCGUCAUGGUGUUCCAGUUCCAUAUUACCCGAUGACGACUCACUCCCCUUGCUGGCUGAUGCUCCGUCGGCGUCCAAGGAGAACACCAAAGAUUUUCCUCACGAAGCCGCAUCGCUGCUCAGACUGUUCCCGAUAUGGUCGACCUGCCUGAUGUACGCCGUCGUCCUGUCGCAGUGGUCGACCCUGUUCACCAAGCAGGCGAGCACGCUGGACAGGAGGAUCGGCACCCUGCUCGUACCGGCCGCCGCCAUGCAAAACCUGAGCCACGCCGCAGUCCUCAUCUUCCUCCCGAUCUACGACCGGAUCCUCGUCCCGCUCGCUACAAAACGCACAGAGAACCCUCGUGGCAUCACCGUCCUGCAGAGGAUCGGCGUCGGGCUGGCGAUCUCGAUCGUCGCGAUGGUCGUCGCCGCGCUCGUGGAGACCAAGAGGCUCAGGAUCGCAGCCGACCAUGGCCUGCUGGACGAGCCUCAAGUUCCCAUCCCCAUGAGCUUGCUGUGGGUGGUUCCCCAGUUCCUGCUGGCCGGGCUGUCCGGCGUGUUCGCGUUCGUCGGCCUGCAGGAGUUCUUCUACGACCAGGUGCCGGGCUCCCUCCGCAGCCUGGGCAUCGCUCUGUGCAUGAGCAUAGCCGGGGUUGGCUGCUUCAUCAGCAGCUUUCUCGUGUACGCCAUUGACAGGGUGACCAGCAGCGCCGGGGAGAGCUGGUUCUCCAACAACCUCAACCGGGCGCACCUCGAUUACUUCUUCUGGCUCCUGGCUGCGCUCAGUGCCUUGGGCUUCUCUGCUUACCUGCAUUUUGCACGGGUUUAUGUCGUCAAGAAAAGGAACGAUUCAGCUUCAGUACAGUGA